rnacentral:rRNA from 1 species
CCUACGGGAGGCAGCAGUGAGGAAUAUUGGUCAAUGGACGAGAGUCUGAACCAGCCAAGUAGCGUGAAGGAUGACUGCCCUAUGGGUUGUAAACUUCUUUUAUAUGGGAAUAAAAUGUUCCACGUGUGGGAUUUUGUAUGUACCAUAUGAAUAAGGAUCGGCUAACUCCGUGCCAGCCGCCGCGGUAAUACGGCGGAUCCGAGCGUUAUCCGGAUUUAUUGGGUUUAAAGGGAGCGUAGGUGGAUUUGUAAGUCAGUUGUGAAAGUUUGCGGCUCAACCGUGGAAUUGCAGUUGAAACUGGCAGUCUUGAGUACAGUAGAGGGGGGCGGAAUUCGUGGUGUAGCGGUGAAAUGCUUAGAUAUCACGAAGAACUCCGAUUGCGAAGGCAGCUCACUGGACUGCAACUGACACUGAGGCUCGAAAGUGUGGGUAUCAAACAGGAUUAGAUACCCUUGUAGUC